rnacentral:rRNA from 1 species
AGAGUUUGAUCCUGGCUCAGGACGAACGCUGGCGGCGUGCUUAACACAUGCAAGUCGAACGGAAAGGCCCUUCGGGGUACUCGAGUGGCGAACGGGUGAGUAACACGUGGGUGAUCUGCCCUGCACUUUGGGAUAAGCCUGGGAAACUGGGUCUAAUACCGAAUAUGACCAUGCGCCUCCUGGUGUGUGGUGGAAAGCUUUUGCGGUGUGGGAUGGGCCCGCGGCCUAUCAGCUUGUUGGUGGGGUAAUGGCCUACCAAGGCGACGACGGGUAGCCGGCCUGAGAGGGUGACCGGCCACACUGGGACUGAGGUACGGCCCAGACUCCUACGGGAGGCAGCAGUGGGGAAUAUUGCACAAUGGGCGCAAGCCUGAUGCAGCGACGCCGCGUGAGGGAUGACGGCCUUCGGGUUGUAAACCUCUUUCAGCACAGACGAAGCGCAAGUGACGGUAUGUGCAGAAGAAGGACCGGCCAACUACGUGCCAGCAGCCGCGGUAAUACGUAGGGUCCGAGCGUUGUCCGGAAUUACUGGGCGUAAAGAGCUCGUAGGUGGUUUGUCGCGUUGUUCGUGAAAACUCACAGCUUAACUGUGGGCGUGCGGGCGAUACGGGCAGACUUGAGUACUGCAGGGGAGACUGGAAUUCCUGGUGUAGCGGUGGAAUGCGCAGAUAUCAGGAGGAACACCGGUGGCGAAGGCGGGUCUCUGGGCAGUAACUGACGCUGAGGAGCGAAAGCGUGGGGAGCGAACAGGAUUAGAUACCCUGGUAGUCC